rnacentral:rRNA from 1 species
AGAGACCGAUAGCGAACAAGUACCGUGAGGGAAAGAUGAAAAGUACUUUGAAAAGAGAGUCAAACAGCGCGUGAAAUUGUUGAAAGGGAAACGAUUGAAGUCAGUCGUACCGACGGGAAAUCKACUAUCUUGAGUGSGAUUUUGUGGGUGGUGAUGAGCUUAACNGCCUUCAUAUUUGCAAKUUUGUAUUYYUGUGGUGUAUUUUUUCGUAUGGUGGGUCAACAUCAAUUU